AUGUUUAUUAUAUCUAGGAUUAAAAUAUUAACAACUUUCACAUUAGACUCUUGCAAAAAAAAAAAAAUAACUUAAAAAAUGUUUUGCAGGUUCUAAACUCAAUGUGGGAGAUGAAGGUACCAUCAAAGAUCAAAAUUUUUGCAGGGAGAUUGUUGUUAGAUCGGUUACCAACCAGAGCCCAGCUGAUAAAGAAAUCAAUAAUCUCGAACGCAGAGGAGAAUUGGUGUCCACUAUGUAUGCUCCAUGAGGAAAAUGUUUUUCAUGUUAUUUUUUUAUGUCCCUAUGUAGUUUUGGUCUGGAAUAAUAUUUACAGGUGGUUGGACUUGGAUUCAGUGGAAGGCUUAAAUGCGGUGGAACAUUAUUGGAAUAUUUUGACCACUCUAAAAGGAGAAGCUGCUAGGUAA